rnacentral:rRNA from 1 species
AUACAGAGGGUGCGAGCGUUAAUCGGAAUUACUGGGCGUAAAGCGCGCGUAGGCGGCUACUUAAGUCAGAUGUGAGAUCCCCGGGCUCAACCUGGGAACUGCAUCUGAUACUGGGUAGCUAGAGUUUAGGAGAGGGGAGUAGAAUUUCAGGUGUAGCGGUGAAAUGCAUAGAGAUCUGAAGGAAUACCAGUGGCGAAGGCGGCUUCCUGGCCUAAAACUGACGCUGAGGUGCGAAAGCGUGGGUAGCAAACGGGAUUAGAAACCCGAGUAGUCC